UCCAUUGGAACGCGCGCAGAGCUUGAUUAAUUAACGAAGCUCGUGCUCACUUAGCACGUUCAUAACCACCGUCGUGAUACCGGUUAAGCCUGAUUGCGGUUGUUAGUUUUUGUGAAGCCAGUUAACGGCAAACAAAGCCCGGCUCUCUCCAUUUAUCUGGCAAUUUUGCACCGUUUAUCCCCAUUACACACACACGUGAAUUUCUGUACUUUGACGCUGUACACACAACCCGAAACAGUCACGAGAAAAGGAACUAUUAAUUGGAUGGCAUUCAAAUGGACAUUCAAUCUAAAAACACUCAUUUUCAAAAAUAACGUGAGACACUAUGAUACAUUGAGCAGUAGAAUUUUUAAAAACCAACAGCCAUCUGUACUUAAAUAUUUCAACUGGAGGCACAAUCAUCUGGUCAGUGGGACCAGGAAAUCCGCUUACCUUGUGCUUUUGAAAUGUCUGUUUCUCAGAUUGAUCCUUGUCUUCUUCAUAUACCAACACAAAAUCAAUGCGUCGCUUCCUGUCGUUGAAGAACAGGGAAUCUGCAUCCCCAUUGAACUCAGUCUUCGGGCAAACAGUGCUGUCGGGCAGAUCUGCCUCUUCGGUCUCAUACUCUUCCUCCAUGACACCAUACAUUUUCUAGAAGUUGAACUCCAAAAUGGCAGACUUGCGCUUGCCAGGGGAGACAGCAUCACGAGUGAAGAGAAGCGAGAGCUCUGGACUAGCGGCCCCACCUGCUUUCUCACCUUGGCAACUAAACCUGCAAAUAACCACUUGUUUGUUUUGCCUUUCACAACCCUGCCUGUCAAUCCACGCUUAAAAAAGAAAGCAAGUGGAACCGUGGGCUGGACUGAAAACAUCUGUAAUUAGGCCAAUUAAAAUUAUUAUUUUUUGUAUUUGGAAACAAAGAGAAAUUGCUCAAAAGGCCAUUUUAUUUUAGGAUGGCACAGGAAAUGCAGAUACUCAAAAGAAACUACUCAGUGACAGGACAAGCUGACAGUACCAAAAACAAGAAUUCAGAUUUGAGCAACAUGGCACUCAUGCUUGACCUGAGCAAUAGCAGCACUUUCCAACACACUCUGCUGUUCAAACAUGGACCAUAAGUUUUAAAGCAGGGGUCCUCAGUCUUACCCAAUCAAAAACGGCCAGUGUAGGUGCAGGGUAUU